AUGAGUAACCUACCAAGCCCAGACAGGA
rnacentral:piRNA from 1 species